AUCCACAAAGCCAAAAUAGGUAGACAUGGGAAAGAAGGGGAAAAGAAGAAUGCAAUGAAAAUAUGCAACUAAAGCUACCAAAAUGCAACACACAAUGAAGAACACACAAAACAGAACAUCACACUCACAACACAAGACAAGACACAACACACACUAACACAACACAAGACUUAAAACUGAACCGUUGGUCCCCGGCAACAGUGCCAAAAUUUUGAUGGGUGUCGCACCCCAUGCAAAAUUUAAUGUGCAUAAAAAAAUGCAGUAUAGACUAGGAAGUGACUCCUAGGU
rnacentral:lncRNA from 1 species